rnacentral:rRNA from 1 species
CACGUAGGGUGCGAGCGUUAAUCGGAAUUACUGGGCGUAAAGCGUGCGCAGGCGGUUUUGUAAGCCAGAUGUGAAAUCCCCGGGCUUAACCUGGGAAUGGCAUUUGGGACUGCAAGGCUGGAGUUUGGCAGAGGAGACUGGAAUUCCCGGUGUAGCAGUGAGAUGCGUAGAUAUCGGGAGGAAUACCGAUGGCGAAGGCAGGUCUCUGGGCUAUAACUGACGCUCAUGCACGAAAGCGUGGGGAGCAAACAGG